CGAUCCCUCCUCCCUAUUAUUUCUCUCUUCCCCCAAAGGAAAUAUUCUACCGUCCCUUACUCUCUCUCCCACAUGGAAACUAUUCCAAUCCAACCGGCUCAUCCUCUCUCAUGCAAGCAAGUUGGGGCAUGGAUCUGGCGUGCUCUAUGAAACAAGAACGUGUGAAGGACACUUCUCUUUCCAUGUUGUUCCGUGCAAAAAAAGAGGAAACAAAGGGGAAAAUCUCACCUAAUUGACACCCCUCUCUCUACCUGUAGGUGACUUACGUGAGAUUGACUUCUCUUUGUUCUAUACUAAAAUCUCAUCUCACUGUCACGCCUGUGCCUGCAUUGGAUUAGGUGACUUACGUGAGAUUGACUUCUCUUUGUUCUAUACUAAAAUCUCAUCUCACUGUCACGCAUGUGCCUGCAUUGGAUUCGCCAUGCAAUCUGGGGGAGAAAUCUCAUUGGUCUUUGUGUACCCAUACACCUCAUCCAUGUGUUGCGGCAGUAGCCAAAAGUUGUGAUGUCGGCCAGUCGUGGAUUGAAGCCCUGACUGAGGAGCCUCUGAUUGCCAGUGGACUCCCCAACAACUACUCAUCUAAGGAGGGCCACAAUAUUUGAUGCAUACUGAAUCCGGAGGUAAGAAGCCUACAGAGCACAUCUUUAAUACACAACUGAUUUGGAGAAAGUGGAUGCUACACAUGAUCAUGCACACGGAUGUCGUUGUUGAGAAACUAUCUUAUCAUUCCACCAUCUAAGCAGGGCCAGUAUGGCUGGGCCAAUGGAGAUGUGAAGGUGUUGAUAUAAUACAAGGAAGCAUUCAGAAACCAAAGCAACUGAGAUAUUUCAAGGAUCAAAACAAGUACUCGCAUGAGCAAAUGAAUUCAAAAGGAUAACUAUGAGCAAGUAAAUAUGUUCCCUAUUUAAAAAAUAUAAAGCAAGAGUCGAUUGAUGAUGAAGUCAUUAUAAACCAGACUAAAAGUUUUAGGACAAGGAGCACAAAUCGUGUUAUGCAUCCUUGUGAAGACUCAAACACUGAGGGAAGUCGGGAAACAAAUGAACUAAAAUUCAUGGAAUCAGUCUGCACGAGGAAGCAUCCCACAUGUUUAAAAUAAAAAAAAUACAGUCUUGAUGAUGCAAAAUCUAGAAAGGAAGUUACACAGAAGCAUAAAUAUUAAAGAUUCCGAACAAUGUGUAAUGGGGUGAUAAACAAUCAGUGACACGAUGCCUUCAGAACUAAGGUUUAUCAAGGAAUCAAAAGAUAGAUAGCACAUUCGGGAAUAUUUGGUAACAAUUUGGUUGUAAUAGAAUGUAUGAGAACAUCAGAUUUGUAUGUUAGAUAUACUUUAUCAUUAAUGCCUUUCCUUUUAAGUCAACGAAUUACUAA